AUGCAGAAGCUGGAUUACUCAGAAAACUCUGAGCAGCAUGUAUGGUUCAUAUUAAAUCACCUAACCUUUCUAUCUCCAGUGGUAUUUCUGGGGCUUUCAUUACUGUGGUGCUCUACAAACUGUAGCCUUGUGAUUGCCUCUGGGAGACAGUGCAAUAUUCAAGUAAGACAAGAGGGAAGAGUGAGCAGCGGAGACCCAUCUGCAGCUCAGAGGUGUGUGGCGAAGCAGCACCUGCAGCCAAAAGCCGGGCCGGUGGUGCUGGGAGGAAGAGGAGGCACUUCUCCCUGCGGGUUUAUAAACUCUUGGCUCGCAAAGCAGGAGGACAAAGUGCAUCACCAAAACAGAAUUGCGCUUGAUGUCUGGGUCAGAGAAGCUCCAGCUGGGCCUGGGCAGCCCUUUCCACUUCCCCAUCCCUUGAGAGCUGGCCAGCAGCCAGGGGCCAAACUGGCACCUCACCCCCAGCGCUGAUGGGAAGGUGAAGGAACCGUGGGAAAACCCGGCUCUGGCUGGCUGCUGUCGGCUCAGCAGCAAUUGCAGUAUAAAAAAUAUUUCUCCUCCCCACCAUGUCCUCUCCAUCCCUGCCAUGGUCUGCCUCAGAGGUAUGAAGGCAGCAGUAACAGGCCACCCCGAUGGACCAGACUGAUGGAUGAGCCAGCUACCCUGAGUGCCUGCCGGCUGGAAAAGAGGACUGACUACAAGCAGAUGAUGGGAAUUACAGCUGGGUAAACUCAAUACCACGUUAACCCUGUGGGGUGUGAGCGGGGUCCCCGCCACAUGGGCACGCAAAGCACCAGCUCUGCUCCAUCCCCCCCGAAGGUGGUGCCUGGCACUGCUGGGGUGUCCCCGUUACACUGGUGGGGUGAUAAUGCAAAGCCUUCCCUCACCUUCACCCUGGGUCUUCUCAGGCACCAAGCACCCUGCCAUAAAAGCAGUCUUUCCCCGCAUGCCCCUGUGUAUUGCCAUUUAUUACAUUACAAGGGGAGAAGGUGGGCCUGGUGCUUUCAGGGAUUUCAGGGUGCAAUGCUGGGCAGUCACUGGGGUGGGCUCAGAUGGCAGCAGGACUAGGGAGACUGGAAACAUCUCACAGUACAGUGCCCUAUGUGCAAUAAAAAGCCAGCAGCCCAUUUUGGUCAAACCAAACAGGGCCUUUUGGAAAAGCAUGCCCUAAGAGGAAAUGCUGCUCCCAGAGCAGCCUAUGGCCCCCAGGUAAUAAUGCUGUAAUCGAUGUCAGUGCACACAGUUAUCCACUACAGUAUUACCAACCCCAUAGAUUUCAAAAUCCUGAAUAAGGCCUCAAAUCUCACAGCACUGGCUUAAAAAAUAAAUUAAAACUAUGCAGUUUGGAAUCUGAUUACUUAUCCUCUAUUUGGGUUUUUAAAACUUUUGGAUACAGCUGGGCUGCAUUUCAGCUUCCCUUUGCAUCGCAAUUGCAAGGUCACAAUAAUUACUCCAUAGAAGGGAGCUACAGGGUGGGGGUUUUUUUGAAGGAAGCUGAGAUUCUUAUAAAUUUACAUUUACAGGGAGGGAGCUUUAACAGUUCUCUAGGCUCUGAAAGUCUGUUAAAAAUUGCAAGGGCCACUGAUAUAAUAAUAGAUUAACCUCAGACCAAUUUAUGUGUGUGGUUACUGAUCACCUGCUCUAAAUAAGCUCACUGCAGGAAGUGGACUUGCCUCUUCAAGGAAUGCUGCCUGUUUGGAGAUGUGCCGACAAAGCAUCAUUUCCACUGGAAGCAUUGUCACGGAGGGAAAAAGUGAAAUUUAUCUCAUUGCCCAGGAAGGCAUAAAGGCAGACUGAUAAAUAAACAGGUGGUGAACCAACUACUUGGCAAUAAGUGGUGAGGCAAUCGCAGUGCGAUGAAGGCUAAUAAGAAAAUAUGAUGUCAUGCAUGGCUCUGCUUUGCCAAAGUGUGCCGCUCCCUGCAGAAAAUCACAAAGAACUGUAAAAACAAAAUACAUUUGUGCUUCAACUGGAAACUGAGGCAAUAAUCAUUAUGAUGAAGUAGCAACAGAGCUUUUGGUUGGACAUCUCAGUUCCCCUCCCAAGGAAGACUGUGCCACACAUUGGUCAGGGAGGCUGGAAGCUGGGACACAAAGUGAAUGUUGGCUGCCUCUUUACGUGCCACAGCCUCUGAGCUGCUGUGGGGCCGGAGCAAACCUAGAGGGAGACCCUGAGGGUGGUCCCACAGGGGGCACAGCUUUGCGUGUUAUGGUCCUGUCCUGCCUUUCUUCUCUCCCAGCUCCCCCAUAUCAAAGUGGAGAGUGAGCCAUCAGGAGAGUCUCAGCACAAUGUCUCCUUUGAGGAAAGUCAAGAGCCACAUUUUGCUGGGUAUUUGUGGGCCCUAGAUACCGCUCUGGAUUUGAAUGGAGAGGAAGGGGCAGGCAGAAGUUAAAAAUAAAAAAGGAGGAAUAGUUUGGAUGGGAUGAAAUAGGAGUAGCCUGCAUGUCACAUUGGUGCUAGCUGAAGGCAAUGAUCCAUACCCUGUCUCGGCACCUCUAAACACCACCAGCCAGGGAGGUCCAGCUGGUCUUUCAGCUAGGACGCUCCAGCUGAGCUAGUCCCUGUCUUCUCUGGGAUUGCAUCCCAUUGCCCAGGUGUGCAAAUGUUUGCUGAGACAUUCAGAGGAAGCUGUUCAUUUUUUUCCCCUUUAAACACAAAAUGCAUUCCCUUAACCACAACCAUAGGAGGAGGCAGCUGCUCUUGGCAAACAGAGCCAUGCUAAGUGCACUUGCUGGAAGUGUUUUGACUUUGUUUCUGAACACGUGUGUAGUAAUACUCAGCUUUGG
ensembl:lncRNA